rnacentral:tRNA from 1 species
GCCGUCGUGGUGGAAUUGGUAGACACGUACGUUUGAGGGGCGUAUGGGGUAACCCAUGCCGGUUCGAGUCCGGCCGACGGCACCA